GACUGUACACGUCUGCACUUUCCCAGGUGGCUCAGUGGUAAAGAAUUUGGCUGCCAACCAGGAGAUGUGAAUUUGAUCCUUGGGUCGGAAAGAUUCCCUGGAAAAAGAAAUGUCAACCCACUCCAGUUUUCUUGCCUGGGAACUCCCAUGGGCAGAGGAGCCUGGCAGGCUUCAGUCCAUGGGAUUACAAAAGUCACAGUCAGACAUGACUUAGCGACUAAACAGCAACAGCAAUCCAUGUAUACAUGGCUCUGUUUCUGGACUUGUGUGGAAAGACUGAGAACAUACACAAAGAGACAUAAGGAAGAAUGACCAAAGGACUAGAAUACUGGACCAGAUCUUUAAGUAAAAAAGGCCCAUAGGUUGGUAGAGAUGAAGAGUGAAGGAAAUCCAAGUGUGAAUGGAACGUACAAAGUUAAGACUAAAUAAAAGGUACUGGAAGAAUAAUAAAAUACCAGUAUAGGAUAGAAGAAUGCUUCUACUUUCAUAUCUGA
rnacentral:lncRNA from 1 species